GGAGAGUUCAUCUCAGAGAAGGGAACAAGGGCAACAGUUGUCUGGCCAGAAGGUGAAGGAUGGCCUUUGGCAGCAGCUCAGUAAGCAGGAGAACAACUGGCCUGCAAGGAGGCUAGUUCCCAGGGCAUGGUACAUGUCAACAGCCAGAAGAAAUUUGAGAGAAAAGCUAAAUGUGUAAAAAACUUCAAUAAUUUAAAGAAGAGGAUGUACACUGUCCACCUGAUUGUGAUCUUUACUCCAACACAAGAUGGAGAAUCCAAUCUUGAUUAGUUCACAGGGUGGGAGUAGAGUUGUCAUGUCAAAUGCCCAUGUUGACUAGUGACAUGACCUUGAGCAAAUUCAAUCAUGUUUUGUGCUUCCUUGGGGUGGUUUUCUUAACCUUCUAGAGCUCAAGAAGGUAGAGGUGCUGAUA